rnacentral:rRNA from 1 species
GACGAACGCUGGCGGCGUGCUUAACACAUGCAAGUCGAACGGUGAAGGGAUCAGCUUGCUGGUUCUGGAUGAGUGGCGAACGGGUGAGUAACACGUGAGUAACCUGCCCCCUUCUUCUGGAUAACCGCAUGAAAGUGUGGCUAAUACGGGAUAUUCUUGUUCUGUCGCAUGAUGGGUCUGGGAAAGAUAUUUUUUCGGUGGGGGAUGGGCUCGCGGCCUUUCAGCUUGUUGGUGGGGUGAUGGCCUAUCAAGGCGGGGACGGGUAGCCGGCCUGAGAGGGUGGACGGUCACACUGGGACUGAGACACGGACCAGACUGCUACGGGAGGCAGCAGUGGGGAAUAUUGCACAAGGGGCGCAAGCCUGAUGCAGCGACGCCGCGUGAGGGAUGGAGGCCUUCGGGAUGUAAACCUCUUUCGCAAGUGAAGCAGGCCUGCUCCUUGUGGGUGGGUUGACGGUAGCUGGAUAAGAAGCGCCGGCUAACUACGUG